CAGCCGCCGCGGGAAUACGUAGGUGGCAAGCGUUGUCCGGAAUUAUUGGGCGUAAAGGGCUCGCAGGCGGUUUCUUAAGUCUGAUGUGAAAGCCCCCGGCUCAACCGGGGAGGGUCAUUGGAAACUGGGAAACUUGAGUGCAGAAGAGGAGAGUGGAGUUCCACGUGUAGCGGUGAAAUGCGUAGAGAUGUGGAGGAACACCAGUGGCGAAGGCGACUCUCUUGUCUGUAACUGACGCUGAGGAGCGAAAGCGUGGGGAGCGAACAGGAUUAGAUACCCCAGUAGUCCCUGUCUCUUAUAA
rnacentral:rRNA from 1 species